rnacentral:rRNA from 1 species
GUUAGGAAUAUUGGACAAUGGGCGAAAGCCUGAUCCAGCCAUGCCGCGUGAACGAUGAAGGCCUUCGGGUUGUAAAGUUCUUUAGCCGAUGAUUAUAAUGACUGUAGUCGGAAAAUAAGCCCCGGCUAACUUCGUGCCAGCAGCCGCGGUAAUACGAAGGGGGCGAGCGUUAUUCGGAAUCACUGGGCGUAAAGCGUGCGUAGGCGGUUUUGUAAGUUAGGAGUGAAAGCCCAGGGCUCAACCUUGGAAUUGCUCUUAAAACUGCAAGGCUCGAAUCUCGGAGAGGAUAGUGGAAUUUCCAGUGUAGCAGUGAAAUGCGUAGAUAUUGGAAGGAACACCAGUGGCGUAAGCGGCUAUCUGGACGAGUAUUGACGCUGAGGCACGAAAGCGUGGGGAUCAAACAGGAUUAGAAACCCCGGUAGUCC